UGGGGAAUAUUGCGCAAUGGGGGCAACCCUGACGCAGCCAUGCCGCGUGAAUGAAGAAGGCCUUCGGGUUGUAAAGUUCUUUCGGUAGCGAGGAAGGCAUUUAGUUUAAUAAACUAGGUGAUUGACGUUAACUACAGAAGAAGCACCGGCUAACUCCGUGCCAGCAGCCGCGGUAAUACGGAGGGUGCGAGCGUUAAUCGGAAUAACUGGGCGUAAAGGGCACGCAGGCGGUGACUUAAGUGAGGUGUGAAAGCCCCGGGCUUAACCUGGGAAUUGCAUUUCAUACUGGGUCGCUAGAGUACUUUAGGGAGGGGUAGAAUUCCACGUGUAGCGGUGAAAUGCGUAGAGAUGUGGAGGAAUACCGAAGGCGAAGGCAGCCCCUUGGGAAUGUACUGACGCUCAUGUGCGAAAGCGUGGGGAGCAAACAG
rnacentral:rRNA from 1 species